rnacentral:rRNA from 1 species
UGGGGAAUUUUGGACAAUGGGCGAAAGCCUGAUCCAGCAAUGCCGCGUGUGUGAAGAAGGCCUUCGGGUUGUAAAGCACUUUUGUCCGGAAAGAAAUCCUUGGCUCUAAUACAGUCGGGGGAUGACGGUACCGGAAGAAUAAGCACCGGCUAACUACGUGCCAGCAGCCGCGGUAAUACGUAGGGUGCAAGCGUUAAUCGGAAUUACUGGGCGUAAAGCGUGCGCAGGCGGUUUGCUAAGACCGAUGUGAAAUCCCCGGGCUCAACCUGGGAACUGCAUUGGUGACUGGCAGGCUAGAGUAUGGCAGAGGGGGGUAGAAUUCCACGUGAUGAGCAGUGAAAAUGCGUAGAGAUGUGGAGGAAUACCGAUGGCGAAGGCAGCCCCCUGGGCCAAUACUGACGCUCAUGCACGAAAGCGUGGGGAGCAAACAGGAUUAGAUACCCUGGUAGUCCACGCCCUAAAACGAUGUCAACUAGUUGUUGGGGAUUCAUUUCCUUAGUAACGUAGCUAACGCGUGAAGUUGACCGCCUGGGGAGUACGGUCGCAAGAUUAAAACUUAAAUGAAUUGACGGGGUCAUAGCUGUUUCCU